rnacentral:rRNA from 1 species
UGGGAACCUUCCACGUUCUCCGUGCNGCAGNUAACGCAUUAAGCGCCCCGCCUGGGGAGUACGGCCGCAAGGCUAAAACUCAAAGGAAUUGACGGGGGCCCGCACAAGCGGCGGAGCAUGUGGCNUAAUUCGACGCAACGCGAAGAACCUUACCAAGGNCGUGACAUAUACCGAAAACUCAUAGAGAUAUGGGGUCCGCCAAGGGCGGUAUACAGGUGGUGCAUGGUUGUCGUCAGCUCGUGUCGUGAGAUGUUGGGUUAAGUCCCGCAACGAGCGCAACCCUCGUCCUAUGUUGCCAGCGAGUAAUGUCGGGGACUCAUAGGAGACUGCCGGGGUCAACUCGGAGGAAGGUGGGGAUGACGUCAAAUCAUCAUGCCCCUUAUGUCUUGGGCUGCACACAUGCUACAAUGGCCAGUACAAAGGGCUGCAAUACCGCCAAGGUGGAGCUAAUCCCAAAAAGCUGGUCUCAGUUCGGAUUGGGGUCUGCAACUCGACCCCAUGAAGUCGGAGUCGCUAGUAAUCGCAGAUCAGCAACGCUGCGGUGAAUACGUUCCCGGGCCUUGUACACACCGCCCGUCACGUCACGAAAGUUGGUAACACCCGAAGCCAGUGGCCCAACUCGCAAGAGAGGGAGCUGUCGAAGGUGGGAUCGGCGAUUGGGACGAAGUCGUAANCAAGGUACC